rnacentral:rRNA from 1 species
UACAGAGGGUGCGAGCGUUAAUCGGAAUUACUGGGCGUAAAGCGCGCGUAGGCGGCUUUGCAAGUCGGGUGUGAAAUCCCCAGGCUUAACCUGGGAACUGCAUUCGAGACUGCAUUGCUAGAGUAUGGGAGAGGGAUGUGGAAUUCCAGGUGUAGCGGUGAAAUGCGUAGAUAUCUGGAGGAACACCGGUGGCGAAGGCAGCAUCCUGGACCGGUAUUGACGCUGAGGCGCGAAAGCCAGGGGAGCAAACGGG